rnacentral:lncRNA from 1 species
AUUGGUCCACGUAAUGUUUAGACAUACAAAAUGUAAAGUUAAUGAUGGAUGUUACAGAAUUAAUUGAAGACAUUAUAUGAAUAUUAUAAGGUUGCUGUGGAGGAAUUUGAGGGAAAAGGUUGGUGGAUAUGUGGGUUAGUUCGAGUUUUUGGAAAGUUAAAUAUAAGAAAAGGCAGAUGAGAAAGGCAAUUAGCUUUUUUGCUGCAAAAAAGUCAAAUAGGGCCUCUAUCACCCAUCAUAAUGAUAUCUUCCCCGUCGAUGCAGAGAGUGUGUGAUAGAUUUGCACCCAAGAUUCAUCAUCAUUGUCCUCUGAUAUUUCUUUUUAAAAUAUAUGGUGCCCCGAAAGAGAUCAUGUGAUAAAAAAAUAACCCUACUAAGAGGAAAUGAUGUAUAUAUGUAUCACUCCCUCUCUUUUUUACUUUCUUUUGAGGGAAUCAAUGGUGAAUU